AUGUACUACUCGUACACUCCGGUUCUGAGCGCCCCGUCCGCACCCACCUGACGACUGCUCGCUACGUUUUGUUAGCC
rnacentral:sRNA from 1 species